rnacentral:rRNA from 1 species
UACGUAGGGACCGAGCGUUGUCCGGAAUCAUUGGGCGUAAAGAGCGUGUAGGCGGCCACUUAAGUCCUGCGUGAAAUCUUGCGGCUCAACCGCAAGCGGUCGUGGGAAACUGGGUGGCUAGAGUGCGGGAGAGGAGAGUGGAAUUCCUGGUGUAGCGGUGAAAUGCGCAGAUAUCAGGAGGAACACCGGUGGCGAAGGCGGGUCUCUGGGCCGAUACUGACGCUGAGGAGCGAAAGCGUGGGGAGCGAACAGG